GAUCCUGGCUCAGAAUCAAUGCUAUCGGUAUGCUUAACACAUGCAAGUUAAAUGUUNNNNNGAAAAACAUAGCGAACGGGUGAGUAACACGUGAAUUAUCUACCUUUUAAUUCAGGAUAAUUAUUUUUAUAAAAAUACUGAAUAAANUAAAUUAAAGUUUUGUNNAACGUUAAAAGAUGAGUUUGCGCAAGAUUANUGGUAGUUGGUAGUUUAAAAGACUACCAAGCCUAUUAUCUUUAGCUGAUUUGAAAGAAUGAUCAGCCACAUUGGGACUGAGACACGGCCCAAACUUUUUUAAAGGCAGCAGUGGGGAAUUUUGGACAAUGAGCGAAAGCUUGAUCCAGCAAUACCGAGUGAGUGAUGGAGGCUAAUUAGGUUGUAAAGCUCUUUCAUUAAGGAGGAAAAUGACAGUACUUAAAAAAGAAGUUCCGGCUAAUACCCGUGCCAGCAGCCGCGGUAAU
rnacentral:rRNA from 1 species